CCCUCAUCUCGGCAAAAAAAAAAGACAACCCACGGCCUCCUCUCGACCCCUCGCUCUCUCCGUCUCCCCAUGCCAGCCUCUCCCAACGCGGCAGCCACGACGACGCGCCUCCCCGGCAAUCUGUGCUCCCGCCGCCUCUUCCUUCCUCUCCCUCUCCCCCGAUGUGGCGGCAUGGAGGCCGGGCCCCAGCGGCACCACCUCACCGCAGGGCGUCCUUGCGGCGCGACGAUGUCCUCAGGCUACGGCGGAGCACCGCCCGUGUGACCUGUCGACGCUCAUCCCCGGCCACGGCAGGGCAUCAACAGGGCUUUCCGAGCAGGGCCCUCCGGUGGCUGGCGGCGCGGGUGCUCUCCGAGGCAGGCUCCUCGAAACCCUAGGUUUCCGUGCUCGCGGACACCACUGUCCAGUGCCGGGCUCGGGCACGGUAGUCUCGUCGAUGACCACGAGAGCUCCAGCAUGAGCAAGCCUCUGCUGCCGCCGUACUAGCGAUGGCCGUGGUUCUCACCUUCGAUUUUGGAACAGCGGCGUGGGCCAUGUACCCUACGCUCAGGUUUCCUCUCAUCUUUUUAUCUAGGACCCUCUAUUUGCCCUGUUCCUCACGUAAACCAGCUAUACUAGCCUCUCUUUUUAUUCAGUUUUUUGUGUGUCCUCUAUCCUUAAAUAUUUGCACUAAUUUAGGGAAACAUAAGAAUAGUGCUAGAGACCUAACUAUCAGCUCAAUAAGCGAGAUUGGGUUCACACGCGCUCAAUAGCAUCCUAAUUUGCUGUGAUGCUACAAUCUCGGUGGCUUCCACAUUUUUCUUCACUUACAGCUUCUCUAUAUGGCUAAGUUUUUUUUCUCAAAGCAGCUAUCUAUAUUAAUACAUAAAUAUCUGCACUGCAUUGGGGUCAUCCUGGAUGAGAAAUUUUAGAUAUCAUGUGACUAAGAAAGUAGUUUUUUAGUCCACGCAUGCCACAUGUUGUCUCCUACAGUGUUGUCCUGCAUAUAUGUUGAAUUUUUGACACCACAAUACUUUGCUCCUUAGGUAACUAAUUGUUAUCCAUAUUUAGUUCAUCAAACCUCCUCAAACGGUCAAACCAAUUGUUUAAAUUUGAGUUAUGCAAUUAGAUGCUUUCUGCUCAAAUUUUUGGUCUCAAAUAAAUUAUUGCUCCAUAAUUAUUUACCCAACCCUCUAGAAAGAUAGAGCCCUAAAACAAUUACUAAUUUUUGGCAAUGCCAUUUUUGGAUUAAUCUGUCUCAUCUCUCAAAUUUUGCUUACUACCUUGCAGGAAAGAAACUCCUUUACCUAGAAAGAGUGUGCACCGUACCUUCUCUUACAUUGUUAGUUGGAUUAAUCACUGCUGCCACAGCAUUUGGUUAAUCGGCCUAUGAUUUUUCUGUUGCACCUGUUCUUUCAGAUGUCUCUGUUCUGCUCUCUGAACUUCCCAGUAUGUCUGGGUGAAUUACCAAUACAUAAUCAGGCUAUUCAUGAAGCUCAAAAGCCAUAUCACCGACAGCCUCGAGGUCGCUGGUGUUGGAGCCUUCAAUUCAGUCGAAAGACUGAUUCCUUCCUUGUUCAAGCUGGAGAUCCAGAGGUACCGCCUUAGGGUUUUUCCAAUCACAGCAACUGUCAAAAUUGGUAUAGUACACUAUUUUUGGGUUGAUAAACCAUUUUGAAUAUGCACCAAUACUGGACCUCCUCUAAAGAAAAGAAGACUGUGUGGGUGCAUCGGCAAUUCAUAUAUUUUUUAACCAUCCACAAAGGAACCUUUUUUAUAGCACCAAAAGCCUCAUGAAGCUAUUAUGGUAGUUUUAGACCUCUGGUGGUUUCAAAGGGCCACCAGGUUUGACAACCUCAGGUAGGUUUCAAUCGUCAAUGAUGAACUUGGUGCUAAUAGAAAUUUAAGAAAACCUUCGUGUGCACCUCUACCUGUUUGCUUCUCGUGAAAUUGUUGGUUUAGAAUUUGAUAGUUCAUAUGUAAUUCAACUACUGAUAGUGAACUCAACUGUUUGUUGUUUUGUUUACAUAAUUGGCAUAACAGUGUGCAUCUUUGAUCACUAUGACAGCAGAGAAAAUUCAUUACAAAGUCUGAGAAGUGCUGUAUGACACGACAUGAAAAAAAACACGGAAUACUAUCGUACAUGAUAAAAAACAAAAGAAUAAAAAUGUUAAUCUUAGCUGAUUCUGCAGUCUAUUUUAUAGUCUAAUAUAGUUUCUAGGAUUAUAUAAUGCCAGUGUCUUCAUAACUUCAUUUUUUAUCUGCUUAAAUUUACCAAAGCUUGAUAUGAUUAUUUCAACGAUGCAAACAUAAGAAUAGUUCCAGUUUUGUGCACAACUCAAAAGUUGGCUAGGAUCUAGCUGUUGUCGCAAAAUUUUCAUCUCAGAGGUACUUCUCAAGGUCAUAAUUUAAAAAUGUAGAUGAGUUCCUGAGCUUCAGAGAUUGAAUCGACCCCAUACUAACAUCCAUAUAACAUCAUCAUGUCUUAUCAGAUGAUACCACGUACUGGGCAAGAAGCAACUCAACUGAAUACGAACCUGGCUGUAAAUCCGACCGCAGCAUCAACUACUAAUCGCUCUUCCACAAUUUCAGCAAGCUGUUACGACAUCCUUGUCUCUACUUUAUUUAGUGGACUACCGAGUUAAAAACCUCCUUGUAUUGUAUAAUAUUACUACCCAUCGUUAUCGCUAUACCAUCUACGAUAUAUGCCAUAUAAAUCUGACCUUCCAUGCA